AAUCCAGUAUGAGCUAUUAUGAGUUGUUUUGCAGCCCAUGUCACCAUAAAGUUAUAAUGAUGAUCAGUAUCGUACCUGGACUUCCACCCACCACCCCCUGUCCUGUGGAGUGUUGCUGCUAUCAAGCACUUGUGUUCAUGUGUUAGAUGUAAACAAACUUUUAAUAAUCUCAUUUUGUUUUAAAAUGACAAAGAUAAAUUCUGUAUGUACUUUUCAGUGAGAAAACAUAAUGGCUAAAUUUAGUGUUCAGGAAAUGAGAUUGGUAUCUUUAUGUAGUUACUGAAAUAUAGAAUAAACACAAACACACACUUCAUGUAUCUGCCUAAUUCAAGAAAUUUGUGUUUGACGAUCAUUUG